GUCUAAAUUCCCCUGAAUCCCUAUCAGGGAUUGAAAC
rnacentral:other from 1 species